CAACUGCAUAUUCGUGUGUAUAAGGGUUGUUUUUAGUAGUAAACUAAUGGAAAAUCAUACUGAGUUAGUUGGUAAGUCUAUACAAUAUAAUCAGCCAGCUUAUUACAUUUUAUUAAGUAUUUCUAAUAUUUUAUAGACAUGGGCACAUGAAAGGGGUGCAAAAACAGCUAAGUGAGCAAAAAGAAGACCAAUCAUAUCUUUUGAUAAUAAUAUAGUUGAUUAUCCUAAUUACUUAAAGCUUUAGAAUGUUUUUUCCUCGUCAGUCUUUGAGAGGUCCAAAUCCUAGUUCUACUACAGCAUCAUCUUGUAGCACUAAAUUAGCUUUUACAGUUCUUGGCUUCUCCUCAUCAGCAGCUUCCAAUUGAUUUGAAGCUUCUAUUUUUGUCUCAGCAAUGGGAACUUCACCUAACGAACCUCCAUUAUCGGCCUUUCCUCUUUGGUUUGUAUUGUUGGUCUGGUUGAUGAUGUUUAUUUCAGGAGGUUCGCUAACGCUAUAAGAUGGGAUGACAGAAGGCAGCUUGGAUAACAAAGCUCCA
rnacentral:lncRNA from 1 species